UUGGAGAAGCACUUGCAGGGCAUUAUAUUUACUUUACGGGGAAGCAAAAAAGUUAGUGCUAGUCUCUCUGGUUCCUUCAUAUUCUGCAGUCUCCCACCCUCAAGCCUCUUCUUCUCAUAAACGAAAGCGAAGACGCACCUCCACAAAACUCUCGUCCAAGCCAUUGCGCUAGGAGCAAUUUGGGUUUCGAGGAGAAGAUGAAAAAAGGAAUUCAUCCACAGCGUCAAUGGAUUUCCUACGUAACCCAGAGUGGGCGAUUGAUCAACGUUAUGAUGACAAAAAUACACCAAGUUGUUAAAGUCUAUCACAUAAGGGGUAGACAGGAGAGGACCGAAGGCAUUGGCCAGAUUGCAAAAUUUAAGCGUCGUUAUGAACAACAGAAGGUAGAGGAAACAGAAGAGAAGUAAAUCCUUUCACUUGCAGGAGCAAUGAUACAUUUCUAUGUUUUCCCUGAACCAAAUAUGGAAUGCCUUGUUUUCAUUUGUCAUUACACUAUCGUGCAUGGUAGCACAUAUGCUUCAUCAUUUCUUUUCCAUAAUUGACAACUUUUAAUGGUUUCUUAUGGACAUUGAUGGGUAAUAUUUCACAGAAUGGAUACCAAGGGCUUCAGUAUCUGCUGGUUGUCCUUUCAUCUUCUUUGCAAUUGUUAUUGUUUUCUUUUGGAUCUUAACGGUAUUCUCUGCCAAGUUGAAUUAAGGAUAUAUGACAAAUGUACCUUUGAUUA